UACGGAGGGCGCAAGCGUUGUUCGGAAUUACUGGGCGUAAAGCGCGCGUAGGCGGCCAGGUAAGUCGGAUGUGAAAGCCCGGGGCCCAACCCCGGAACUGCACCCGAUACUGCCCGGCUGGAGUCCGGGAGAGGAUGGCGGAAUUUCGAGUGUAGAGGUGAAAUUCGUAGAUAUCGGCAGGAACACCAGUGGCGAAGGCGGCCAUCUGGCCGGGUACUGACGCUGAGGUGCGAAAGCGUGGGGAGCAAACAGG
rnacentral:rRNA from 1 species